ACAUGAAUACAUAGUGUUGCAAGGCGAACGAGGGGAAGUGAAACAUCUCAGUACCCUUAGGAAAAGAAAUCAAUUGAGAUUCCCUCAGUAGCGGCGAGCGAACGGGGAUCAGCCCAUUAAGUUAUGUGUGUUUUAGUGGAACGCUCUGGGAAGUGCGAACGUAGAGGGUGAUAUUCCCGUACACGAAAGGGCACACAUAAUGAUGACGAGUAGGGCGAGGCACGUGAAACCUUGUCUGAAUAUGGGGGGACCAUCCUCCAAGGCUAAAUACUCCUGACUGACCGAUAGUGAACCAGUACCGUGAGGGAAAGGCGAAAAGAACCCCUGUGAGGGGAGUGAAAUAGAUCCUGAAACCGCAUGCAUACAAGCAGUGGGAGCACCUUCGUGGUGUGACUGCGUACCUUUUGUAUAAUGGGUCAGCGACUUAUAUUCAGUAGCAAGGUUAACCGUAUAGGGGAGCCGUAGAGAAAUCGAGUCUUAAUAGGGCGUUUAGUUGCUGGGUAUAGACCCGAAACCAGGCGAUCUAUCCAUGAGCAGGUUGAAGGUUGGGUAACACUAACUGGAGGACCGAACCCACUGUCGUUGAAAAGCCAGGGGAUGACUUGUGGAUAGGGGUGAAAGGCUAAUCAAGCCUGGUGAUAGCUGGUUCUCCCCGAAAGCUAUUUAGGUAGCGCCUCGGACGAAUACCAUAGGGGGUAGAGCACUGUUUCGGCUAGGGGGUCAUCCCGACUUACCAAACCGAUGCAAACUCCGAAUACCUAUGAGUACUAUCCGGGAGACAGACUGCGGGUGCUAACGUCCGUAGUCAAGAGGAAAACAAUCCAGACCGCCAGCUAAGGCCCCAAAAUCAUAGUUAAGUGGGAAACGAUGUGGGAAGGCAUAGACAGCUAGGAGGUUGGCUUAGAAGCAGCCACCCUUUAAAGAAAGCGUAAUAGCUCACUAGUCGAGUCGGCCUGCGCGGAAGAUGUAACGGGGCUAAAACUAUGUGCCGAAGCUGCGGAUUUGACAUUAGUCAAGUGGUAGGGGAGCGUUCUGUAAGCCGAUGAAGGUGUAUUGAGAAGUAUGCUGGAGGUAUCAGAAGUGCGAAUGCUGACGUGAGUAACGACAAAACGGGUGAAAAACCCGUUCGCCGAAAGACCAAGGGUUCCAGUCCAACGUUAAUCGGGGCUGGGUGAGUCGACCCCUAAGGCGAGGCCGAAAGGCGUAGUCGAUGGGAAAAUGGUUAAUAUUCCAUUACUUCUGUGUAAUGCGAUGAGAGGACGGAGAAGGCUAAAUCAGCCUGGCGUUGGUUGUCCAGGUGAAAGGAUGUAGGCAUGUAUCUUAGGCAAAUCCGGGGUACUCUAUGCUGAGAUCUGAUAGCAAGCUGUACUUGUACAGCGAAGUGGUUGAUGCCAUGCUUCCAGGAAAAGUCUCUAAGCUUCAGUUACACAGGAAUCGUACCCGAAACCGACACAGGUGGUCAGGUCGAGUAGACCAAGGCGCUUGAGAGAACUCUGCUGAAGGAACUAGGCAAAAUGGUACCGUAACUUCGGGAGAAGGUACGCUGUUGUUGGUGAUGGAACUCGCUUCCUGAGCUGACGACAGCCGCAGAAACCAGGCCGCUGCAACUGUUUAUUAAAAACAUAGCACUCUGCAAACACGAAAGUGGACGUAUAGGGUGUGAUGCCUGCCCGGUGCUGGAAGGUUAAUUGAUGGGGUUAGCGUAAGCGAAGCUCUUGAUCGAAGCCCCAGUAAACGGCGGCCGUAACUAUAACGGUCCUAAGGUAGCGAAAUUCCUGGUCGGGUAAGUUCCGACCUGCAC
rnacentral:rRNA from 1 species